GAUGAACGCUGGCGGCGUGCUUAACACAUGCAAGUCGAACGGAAAGGCCCAAGCUUGCUUGGGUACUCAAGUGGCGAACGGGUGAGUAACACGUGGGUGAUCUGCCCUGCACUUCGGGAUAAGCCUGGGAAACUGGGUCUAAUACCGGAUAGGACGAUGGUUUGGAUGCCAUUGUGGAAAGUUUUUUCGGUGUGGGAUGAGCUCGCGGCCUAUCAGCUUGUUGGUGGGGUAAUGGCCUACCAAGGCGUCGACGGGUAGCCGGCCUGAGAGGGUGUACGGCCACAUUGGGACUGAGAUACGGCCCAGACUCCUACGGGAGGCAGCAGUGGGGAAUAUUGCACAAUGGGCGCAAGCCUGAUGCAGCGACGCCGCGUGGGGGAUGACGGCCUUCGGGUUGUAAACUCCUUUCGCUAGGGACGAAGCGUUUUUGUGACGGUACCUGGAGAAGAAGCACCGGCUAACUACGUG
rnacentral:rRNA from 1 species